CGCCUGUAGCCAAACGUGAGAAUUAGGUUCACCACUGCUUGAUUGAAACCUAGUAAAGAAAAAAUGGCAAUUAGAAAAAAAAAAAAGGCGAAAGAAGCACCUGUGGGUUUCGUGUAAGAUAAUCAUAAGUUAUUCAUAACCCAGUUACCUCUGUUCUCUAUUAGGGCUUUUAGGUACGGAAACCCAGUCUCUGCCUACUGCUCUGCCUAAGGUUUUUGAUUUGUGUUUAGUUCAAACAAGAUGUGUGAAAGUGUAGUUAUAAAAACCCUUGGUAGCGUUUUUACCGGGUUGUACUUUCUGGCUGGAUGUAUUGCUGCGGAGCAAGUUGGUUGCGGGGCGUCUCGACUACUGCAUAGGAUCAAAAAGAGGGGGGCUGAAGGGAAAGUUGAUAAGAAUGGUGGUGAGUAAAGACAGGCUUAUGGUAAUGAGCUGGCGUUAAUGAGUAUGGGUAACCUAUUAUGAGCAUAACACUAUUAAAUUAUGUCGACUUGUAAUGGAUUUAUGUUGGUAAAGAGUUUUAAUUGGGCUCCGGGUUUGCCAGCUGAUGCGAGACCAAUACUACGUAUCCUUGUUGGUUAGAAAAAUUAUAUUAUUAUAUAUGAAAAUUAUUGUAGUUUUAAUUAUCAA